GGGCGAGUGGCUUAGUCCGGAUAGAGCGUUAGCCUCCUAAGCUAAUGGUCGGGGGUUCAAAUCCCCCCUCGCCCG
rfam:Candidatus Methanoregula boonei 6A8, complete genome.